rnacentral:ncRNA from 12 species
GGGUGCGUGCAUCGGACAGCGAUGCGGGCAGGAGAGUGACGCUGGUCGGGCCGCCAGUG